rnacentral:rRNA from 1 species
CAGCGCCACAAGUGGCAAUCACGUUUAUUGGGCCUAAAGCGUCCGUAGCCGGUUUAGCAAAUCUUUUGUGAAAUCGUCAGGCCUAACUUGACGAAUUGCAGAAGACACUACUAAACUAGGGACUGGGAGGAGUCAGAAGUAUUCUGGGGGGACCGGUAAAAUGGUAUAAUCCCCAGAGGACUACCGAUGGCGAAGGCAUCUGACCAGAACAGAUCCGACGGUGAGGGACGAAAGCCAGGGGAGCAAACCGGAUUAGAUACCCGAGUAGUCC